UACGUAGGGGCCUAGCGUUGUCCGGAUUUAUUGGGCGUAAAGAGCUCGUAGGCGGUUCGGCAAGUCGGAUGUGAAAUCUCCACGCUCAACGUGGAGGGGCCAUUCGAAACUGCCGUGACUCGAGUCCGGUAGGGGAGUGUGGAAUUCCCGGUGUAGCGGUGAAAUGCGCAGAUAUCGGGAGGAACACCAGUAGCGAAGGCGACUACCUGGCCUGUUCUUGACGCUGAGGCGCGAAAGCUAGGGGAGCAAACGGG
rnacentral:rRNA from 1 species